AUAAACAGAGAGAGAGACCCUCAUACACUGUAUAUAUAAAUAGAGAGAGAGACCCUCAUACACUGUUUAUAUAUACAGUGUAUGAGGGUCUCUCUCUGUUUAUAUAUACAGUGUAUGGGGGUCUCUCUCUCUGUUUAUAUAUACAGUGUAUGAGGGUCUCUCUCUAUUUAUAUAUACAGUGUACGAGGGUCUCUCUCUGUUUAUAUA